UCUGCAUCAGCCGGGCGGCGUAGAUGUGCGCGUACUGCCGCUGGAAGGAGCGCUCGCCCAGCCUGAAGCAGCCGGAGCAGUUGCUGUAGGAGCCGGCGGCGACCCGGGGGAAAGUCGGGCCCGGCUGGGCCGGCAGCGGGGCCGACAGCAACGUCGGCUCCUGCUGGGCCGCCCGCUCGGAAAACAUCACGACGUGGACGGGCGGCUGCGAGGGGAGGAUGAAACGCCCCUCUCUCGGCUCUCAGACACCGCCUGGCACGGUUAAUGUUGUCGGGUCUUCUCCUUGCCGUUGCCGUUGCUUUUCCCGGCUCGCGCUUCGGGAUGGAUUUCCGUUGGGAGGUUCCCGCCAAUGCGGCGGGCUCGCUGGCACGUGACGGACCGUCACGCCUCGCGCGCGGCGACCACAACAACAAGGGCGCGGACGCCAUCUUGUUGCGGGGCCACGACGGAUUUUUCAAAGCCGCCAUUUUGUUGAGGGGCGAGUUCGUGGAUUCCAUCUUGGUUUUUUUCCCCCUGAGGAUCUCCCUCCAUGUGCUGUGUGCGACCGAUUCUCUCAUCCGCUAUUUGACCGAGACCGGUGCUAGUUUAAAAGUUUUUUUUUUAAAGCCCGUGUUUUCGGGGGGCUUUUUUCCCCGAUCUGCGUCACCUGAGGCAUUUUGACCUUUUCCUCGGGCGCCUCCAGAUCCAGGCAGAUACUGAUGGACCACUCCUCCAGUUGUUAGUUCAUUCAAAGGAGAAGAACAGAAGCAAUUCCAAGUGAGAUGAUGUUUAGACGGACAGAUACAGACACAGAAUUUAAUGGGUCAUGUCGGGAACUGUAACAACAUUUGAUAUUAUGUUGUGACCUAAGGCGUCGUGGGACGACACAACAGCCUCAAUCAUAACAAUAAUCAUGAACAGUACAGUACAUGGACUCCUC